rnacentral:lncRNA from 1 species
GUGACCUUCCCCAGCUCGUCAGUGAAUGGCCUGCUUGUUUUCUUCCCGAGGGAGGGGGGCUGCCUUGGGGAUGUGAAAAGUACCGUUAUGUAAGGGAGGGAUUUUUCCAUGCUUCUGGGAUGCCAAAAGAAGCGCUGUGAGAGGGCGUGGGUGAAAGAAAGAAGAAAAAAGAAAAAAGGAGAAAAUGCUUGCAGGAAUAAAGCAGAGGUCUGCCCUACCGCAGCUCUGGCGGAGCUCUGCAUGGCAGAGAGAAAAAGCUUUUCAUUUUUCGGAUGCAGCCUUUUAAAUCAGAAAGGAGGAGGAGGUACGGCUUCAGCCUGCCCUGCCUUCCAGCACCAGUACCCCGCACUGUGUGUCAGACGGCAGGGAAGAACAAAGGGCUGGUGGUCACAUCCUGGUUGGCACAGAGCACGGGGAGGGGUCGGCGAGGGCCGUGCUGGACCGCUGCGUGGCUUUGCUGUAUGUGAUGGGAAGGAUCCUCCCAGCUGCAAUUGCUCCGUCUGAAGAACGAAGUGCGGCCCUUCCGAAGCUUCUCGUCUUUGUCCCGCUGCAGCUCUGGAGUUUCAGCACAAGCCACACCAACAGGCUCCCAGCACGGCCGUGGGCUCUAAUUGCUCCUGCCCGGCGGCUCCAUUUAAUCUGAGCCUGCAGCUGGCUCGCAGGUGGCUUUGUCUCCAGCUUUGUUGCCUUUGGGGGUUCCUGCAUUUGUUCCUCUCCUCACUAUCCAUUGGUGCUGUUGCUUUCAGCUAGUAAUUGUUGAAGGGCUGCGGAUGAGAGCCUCUCUGGAAGAUCUGUGCUAACUCAUAGAAUCAUGGAAUAUCCUGAGCUGGAAGGGUCCCACGAGGAUCACUGACGCCCACCCCUGGCUCCACACAGCAGCACCCAAUCCCCCUUUCCCAAGCAUAUUCCUUUUACAAAACUAGUGCCCUUGUGAGCAUAGGUCUGACUUCCACUCGUGCUUGAGAGGGUAGAAAUGUGACAGGGCUGCCUUGGUGCUGCAUAAUGCAGGAUCUGAGCAAGCCAUCAGUACCUGCAGGGAUCCUGCUGGCAUCUCUGGCUGUUCUCCUGUCAACGGCAAGGGCAGCGCAGGUAGCAGUAUCUACUGGGGCUUUGAGGUAUUGCAUUUGUUUUAAAACAUUAAUUUCCUUUUCUGUUUGCUGGCCGUAGACUUUGAGGGAUAAAAG